UGGGGAAUCUUGGACAAUGGGCGACAAGCCUGAUCCAGCCAUGCCGCGUGAGUGAUGAAGGCCUUAGGGUUGUAAAACUCUUUCGCCGAGGACGAUAAUGACGGUACUCGGAGAAGAAGCUCCGGCUAACUUCGUGCCAGCAGCCGCGGUAAUACGAAGGGGGCUAGCGUUGUUCGGAUUUACUGGGCGUAAAGCGCGUGUAGGCGGGUCGUUAAGUUGGGGGUGAAAUCCCGAGGCUCAACCUCGGAACUGCCUUCAAAACUGGCGACCUGGACCUAAGUAGAGGCAAGUGGAAUUGCGAGUGUAGAGGUGAAAUUCGUAGAUAUUCGCAGGAACACCAGUGGCGAAGGCGACUUGCUGGACUUAUGGUGACGCUGAGACGCGAAAGCGUGGGGAGCAAACAGGAUUAGAUACCCUGUAGUCCCUGAGCGGGCUGGCAAGGCGCAU
rnacentral:rRNA from 1 species